rnacentral:sRNA from 1 species
UUACCUCUCCCUCGGGGAGAGGUCGAAACCGCGCAGCGGUUUCGGGUGAGGGG